GUGAGUGGCGAACUGGUGAGUAACACGUGGGAAACCUGCCCAGAAGCGGGGGAUAACACCUGGAAACAGAUGCUAAUACCGCAUAACAACUUGGACCGCAUGGUCCGAGUUUGAAAGAUGGCUUCGGCUAUCACUUUUGGAUGGUCCCGCGGCGUAUUAGCUAGAUGGUGAGGUAACGGCUCACCAUGGCAAUGAUACGUAGCCGACCUGAGAGGGUAAUCGGCCACAUUGGGACUGAGACACGGCCCAAACUCCUACGGGAGGCAGCAGUAGGGAAUCUUCACAAUGGACGAAAGUCUGAUGGAGCAACGCCGCGUGAGUGAAGAAGGGUUUCGGCUCGUAAAACUCUGUUGUUAAAGAAGAACAUAUCUGAGAGUAACUGUUCAGGUAUUGACGGUAUUUAACCAGAAAGCCACGGCUAACUACGUGCCAGCAGCCGCGGUAAUACGUAGGUGGCAAGCGUUGUCCGGAUUUAUUGGGCGUAAAGCGAGCGCAGGCGGUUUUUUAAGUCUGAUGUGAAAGCCUUCGGCUCAACCGAAGAAGUGCAUCGGAAACUGGGAAACUUGAGUGCAGAAGAGGACAGUGGAACUCCAUGUGUAGCGGUGAAAUGCGUAGAUAUAUGGAAGAACACCAGUGGCGAAGGCGGCUGUCUGGUCUGUAACUGACGCUGAGGCUCGAAAGUAUGGGUAGCAAACAGGAUUAGAUACCCUGGUAGUCCAUACCGUAAACGAUGAAUGCUAAGUGUUGGAGGGUUUCCGCCCUUCAGUGCUGCAGCUAACGCAUUAAGCAUUCCGCCUGGGGAGUACGGCCGCAAGGCUGAAACUCAAAGGAAUUGACGGGGGCCCGCACAAGCGGUGGAGCAUGUGGUUUAAUUCGAAGCUACGCGAAGAACCUUACCAGGUCUUGACAUACUAUGCAAAUCUAAGAGAUUAGACGUUCCCUUCGGGGACAUGGAUACAGGUGGUGCAUGGUUGUCGUCAGCUCGUGUCGUGAGAUGUUGGGUUAAGUCCCGCAACGAGCGCAACCCUUAUUAUCAGUUGCCAGCAUUAAGUUGGGCACUCUGGUGAGACUGCCGGUGACAAACCGGAGGAAGGUGGGGAUGACGUCAAAUCAUCAUGCCCCUUAUGACCUGGGCUACACACGUGCUACAAUGGAUGGUACAACGAGUUGCGAACUCGCGAGAGUAAGCUAAUCUCUUAAAGCCAUUCUCAGUUCGGAUUGUAGGCUGCAACUCGCCUACAUGAAGUCGGAAUCGCUAGUAAUCGCGGAUCAGCAUGCCGCGGUGAAUACGUUCCCGGGCCUUGUACACACCGCCCGUCACACCAU
rnacentral:rRNA from 1 species